rnacentral:lncRNA from 1 species
GCCAGGAUAAUCCAUGAGAUGGAUUUAAAAAAUUAAAUACAAUGUGAUCGAAUAAAUUAUGAUUGACAGUUAAACCCUAGGUCACCUUGAGCAUUAGGGUCAAAGGGAUGAAUUAUACGGUAACCAUACGCCAGUAGGUUCUAGAAGGUUGCUUUGCAAUACUUCGAUCUAUCCGAUCGUUGGGUCACUAUUGCUAGAUGGUUACAUCGAUUGGUAU